GAUGAACGCUGGCGGCGUGCCUAAUACAUGCAAGUCGAGCGAACGGACGAGAAGCUUGCUUCUCUGACGUUAGCGGCGGACGGGUGAGUAACACGUGGAUAACCUACCUAUAAGACUGGGAUAACUUCGGGAAACCGGAGCUAAUACCGGAUAAUAUUUUGAACCGCAUGGUUCAAAAGUGAAAGACGGUCUUGCUGUCACUUAUAGAUGGAUCCGCGCUGCAUUAGCUAGUUGGUAAGGUAACGGCUUACCAAGGCAACGAUGCAUAGCCGACCUGAGAGGGUGAUCGGCCACACUGGAACUGAGACACGGUCCAGACUCCUACGGGAGGCAGCAGUAGGGAAUCUUCCGCAAUGGGCGAAAGCCUGACGGAGCAACGCCGCGUGAGUGAUGAAGGUCUUCGGAUCGUAAAACUCUGUUAUUAGGGAAGAACAUAUGUGUAAGUAACUAUGCACGUCUUGACGGUACCUAAUCAGAAAGCCACGGCUAACUACGUG
rnacentral:rRNA from 1 species